rnacentral:ncRNA from 1 species
UUGAGCCGUAUGCCGCGACGAGUGGCACGUACGGAUCUGAGGGGGCCCCGGCGCAGCAAUGCGUCGGGGCUACCCGGC